rnacentral:tRNA from 1 species
ACUUAAAUAGCUUAAAUUAGAGCAUAACAUUGAAGAUGUUAAAGUAAUUAUUAAAUUUUUAAGUA